AUUGAACGCUGGCGGCAUGCUUUACACAUGCAAGUCGAACGGCAGCACGGGGCAACCUGGUGGCGAGUGGCGAACGGGUGAGUAAUGCAUCGGAACGUACCUUUCAGUGGGGGAUAACGUAGCGAAAGUUACGCUAAUACCGCAUAUUCUGUGAGCAGGAAAGCAGGGGAUCGCAAGACCUUGCGCUGAUUGAGCGGCCGAUGUCAGAUUAGCUAGUUGGUGAGGUAAAGGCUCACCAAGGCGACGAUCUGUAGCGGGUCUGAGAGGAUGAUCCGCCACACUGGAACUGAGACACGGUCCAGACUCCUACGGGAGGCAGCAGUGGGGAAUUUUGGACAAUGGGGGCAACCCUGAUCCAGCCAUGCCGCGUGAGUGAAGAAGGCCUUCGGGUUGUAAAGCUCUUUCGGCCGGGAAGAAAUCGUAUCAGCUAAUACCUGGUGCGGAUGACGGUACCGGCAUAAGAAGCACCGGCUAACUACGUGCCAGCAGCCGCAGUAAAAC
rnacentral:rRNA from 1 species